AAAACAUUUAUUUCUCCAUUUUGAAUUUUUUAAAAUGUGUGUAUUUAUAUCAUUAGGAUCACAAGUUAUUUUUUUAGCCUGUGCUGCUGAGCAGUGGAAUAAUGUCAAUGUACUCUUAGGUUUUAUAUGAUUAUAGUCAAGCAGGUGCAUUUGUAAAAAUGGUACUAAGUUACUACUAGGUAUAAAGAAAAGGCUUUAUCUCCCCAUUUGUUAAGACCUGAUCUGUUUGUUUAGGGUAUGACAAAGAUUGUUUGAGCUGUGAAUUGCCCUAAGAAUAUAAUUCAUUCUGGUGGACAAAAACAGCAUGGCAUUUUAAAAAUUUUGUUGGGACCAUGAUUGCAUUGUAAAUGGGAGAGAAUGGAGGAAUAUUUGAACUGACUUUUUGAUACCUUCAUCUACUGGCCGUAACAGAUUUCAUUGUUCAUUUAUUUUGUAUUAUAAAAAGAGAAUAUAUAUAUGUAUAUUUGUAUUGUCACUUUCUAUUAGCAUGACCUAUUACCACAAGGACUUCUAUUCUUUCUUUGCAGCUGUCUAUCUCUUUCUUUGGGCCCUUUUUAGGGCCCUCCAAAAGCCAGAAGUCAUUAAGCUUCAGACUAUAUAUAACCAAUUCUGCAACAUUCCAAUUUAUUGAGAAUGUUGUUAAGAUGUGUUGCCUGAUUCUCUAGCACAACCAGUGCUUUGUAUUACAGUAUUGAUCAGAAUUGUCAAGUAAAAGCACCAAUCAAUCUUGAAAGGAACUGAGUGGAUUACUUGUGCGCCAUUUUGUCCAGCUAACAAAAUGUAAGGCAUUCUUGAGAGACUAGUGCAAAAGUCAGAGCAUCAAUGUGCUGCGCUUUAAGUACUGCCACAUCCUCCAUGACAAGAAAAAUGUCAUAACAGAAAAUUACUGUGAUUUUCACAGGCUACAGUUACAAUUACAUGCUUAGUAUGCAACUAAACAUUCCUGGCUCAGAUACAGUGGCACAAAAUGCAGUCAAGCUCUCAGCCCCCUGGAUGACAGAAUUGGUAGUCAUCUUUCAUUUCCCCCCAUACAUGGUGAAUAUUGUGCUGCAUUGUCAGCUGAAGAAUGCAGACGAAUGUGCACCUACAGCAGCCAUACAUCUACAAUGGUAAUAACUUUAAUGAAAAUGUGAAAAAUCUACAACUCAUGGGACUGACAUCCUAUUGUUGAUUUGGUUGACUCUUGACACAGAAGUUGUUGAAAGAAACAAACGUCUCGGCACAUUUAUUAUGAAAUUAUUGUACCAGCAGAUUCACCUACUUUCAGUGAAGUCUUGAAAGAACAAUGGAAAAGGUCUGAAAGCAGAUGUUUUUAAUCAAGUCUGGUGGACUCAUCUACAUGCAGGGGGUAACACAACAGUGCUUAAGGCCUUAACUAAGUUCACCAGUCAGGGCAGAGGAAACUCAAGAUGGACAACAAUGCACAUGACCAAGGUUAUAAUCAACAGGAGGUUUGGAGUGGUCAGGCACAGAUGCUGCCAUGCAUCAAGGUAGAAACAGGAAUGGAAAGAGCUAUCACAUCAUGUGUGGUGCCUCAUUAGAGAAGAGUUGUAAUAAAAUAAUAUUGCUUUUAUGAAAUAAAUGUUAUAUU
rnacentral:sRNA from 1 species